CCUGUCAUAUAUCCCAUAUGUGACAACAAGCCCGUUUGAUCUAAAGGAAAUUUAAAAACAUCGAGAGACUAAAUUUAUCAAAUGUGACAGAGUAAGGAGCGCGGGUAGGGCCGUAGUAAAUACUUAUUAACUGAGGAGGGAGCGGAGAAAGGGUGGACGCGGCGACAGUAAAUCUUAAUUACAGGAUUAUCUUGAGAAAGGGUGGGAUGGUAGAAUUCUGUAGUUUUGAGAGUCACAGUGGAAAACGUCGUGUCUUAUUCUGAGGUCUGGUAUCCAUAGGAGACAUGUUGUACAGGAGUGGAAUCAUUACCCUCAUCUUAAUUCAUAUGGCUUCGGGCAUGCCACGGCCAUCUGAAGAGAUAUCAACCAGUACCACAACACCUAGCAGUGUUGGCCCUCCAGAUCCAAUGAGGAUAUGCACUGAGCCAAAGCAUUGUCACUGUAUAAACGGAAUCC